rnacentral:rRNA from 1 species
UACAGAGGUCUCAAGCGUUGUUCGGAUUCAUUGGGCGUAAAGGGUGCGUAGGCGGUGGGGCAAGUCAGGUGUGAAAUCCCGGAGCUCAACUCCGGAACUGCACUUGAUACUGCUUUACUAGAGUACUGGAGAGGAGACUGGAAUUUACGGUGUAGCAGUGAAAUGCGUAGAUAUCGUAAGGAAGACCAGUGGCGAAGGCGAGUCUCUGGACAGUUCCUGACGCUGAGGCACGAAGGCCAGGGGAGCAAACGGG